AAAGAAGUUUAAAUGAGAUCAUAAGGGUGGAAUUCCGAUCUGAGAAUCUGUAUCCUUAUCAGAGACCUUGUGCUUGUGAAGGCACCUUUCUCUCUCUCUCUGUCUCUCUCUCUGUCUCUCUCUCCCCCGCCCCACCACCCCACUUCUCUCUUUGUAUUUAUGCACAUACCAAAGAAAGGUCAUGGGAGGACACAGUGGGAAGAUCAUCACAGAUGCUACAUGGUCAAAAUGAAUAGGAGGACAUUGCGGAAGUCGUGAUGUGACCUGCGAACUUACACUCCCACCCCUCUGAGGAUGUCCUUUGAGCCUGAGCCAUCAGGUGGUUUCAGUUAUUUCACGGACCCAACGUGUGACUCUGACUCAAUGGAGUUAGAGAGAUUGAGCAGCUUGCCUGAGUCCCCUGGCCUGCAUGUGGCAGGGAAGAAACAGAAGCCUGGCUCCAGCCUCCUGCACCCCGUCAGUAGAAGUAGGCUGACAAACUUAAGGAAGAGAUAG
rnacentral:lncRNA from 13 species